rnacentral:rRNA from 1 species
UCUGGGACAAGCCCUGGAAACGGGGUCUAAUACCGGAUACCACUCCUGCCUGCAUGGGCAGGGGUUGAAAGCUCCGGCGGUGAAGGAUGAGCCCGCGGCCUAUCAGCUUGUUGGUGGGGUAAUGGCCCACCAAGGCGACGACGGGUAGCCGGCCUGAGAGGGCGACCGGCCACACUGGGACUGAGACACGGCCCAGACUCCUACGGGAGGCAGCAGUGGGGAAUAUUGCACAAUGGGCGAAAGCCUGAUGCAGCGACGCCGCGUGAGGGAUGACGGCCUUCGGGUUGUAAACCUCUUUCAGCAGGGAAGAAGCGAAAGUGACGGUACCUGCAGAAGAAGCGCCGGCUAACUACGUGCCAGCAGCCGCGGUAAUACGUAGGGCGCAAGCGUUGUCCGGAAUUAUUGGGCGUAAAGAGCUCGUAGGCGGCUUGUCACGUCGGAUGUGAAAGCCCGAGGCUUAACCUCGGGUCUGCAUUCGAUACGGGCUAGCUAGAGUGUGGUAGGGGAGAUCGGAAUUCCUGGUGUAGCGGUGAAAUGCGCAGAUAUCAGGAGGAACACCGGUGGCGAAGGCGGAUCUCUGGGCCAUUACUGACGCUGAGGAGCGAAAGCGUGGGGAGCGAACAGGAUUAGAUACCCUGGUAGUCCACGCCGUAAACGUUGGGAACUAGGUGUUGGCGACAUUCCACGUCGUCGGUGCCGCAGCUAACGCAUUAAGUUCCCCGCCUGG